UGUGGCCAUCUGAGCAAAGGGCAGUAUGGCAGAGUGAGUGCUUUGGAAACAGCAAAGCUUAUCUGGGAUAGGCUGUCUAAGGUCAACGAAGGAGUCUCAACACAGCGUGACUCUCGAGUUGACGUUCUUUGCAAUCUCUUCAACCGCUUCAAAAGACUCGACAAUGAAAAUGUUAAGCAAACCUUCGAUCGUCUCACUGACAUUUCAAAUGAGCUUCAAGCGCUUGGUCCCACGGACAUCACCGACCAUGAGGUGGUGAAGAAAUUGCUGAGAUCGCUUGAUUCCUCGUUUGACACUCUGGCGCUGAUGAUACAAGAAUGUGGAGACUACAAGUCACUUGAUCCCGCAGAUAUCCUCGAAAGGCUAAACACUCAUGAGUUCUAG
rnacentral:rRNA from 1 species